GACGAACGCUGGCGGCGUGCUUAACACAUGCAAGUCGAACGGAAAGGCCCUGCUUUUGUGGGGUGCUCGAGUGGCGAACGGGUGAGUAACACGUGAGUAACCUGCCCUUGACUUUGGGAUAACUUCAGGAAACUGGGGCUAAUACCGGAUAGGAGCUCCUGCUGCAUGGUGGGGGUUGGAAAGUUUCGGCGGUUGGGGAUGGACUCGCGGCUUAUCAGCUUGUUGGUGGGGUAGUGGCUUACCAAGGCUUUGACGGGUAGCCGGCCUGAGGGGGUGACCGGCCACAUGGGGACUGGGAUACGGCCCAGACUCCUACGGGAGGCAGCGGUGGGGAAUAUUGCACAAUGGGCGGAAGCCGGAUGCAGCAACGCCGCGUGCGGGAUGACGGCCUUCGGGUGGUAAACCGCUUUCGCCUGUGACGAAGCGUGGGUGACGGUAAUGGGUAAAGAAGCACCGGCUAACUACGU
rnacentral:rRNA from 1 species